GACGAACGCUGGCGGCGUGCUUAACACAUGCAAGUCGAACGGAAAGGCCCUGCUUUUUUGGGGUGCUCGAGUGGCGAACGGGUGAGUAACACGUGAGUAACCUGCCCUUGACUUUGGGAUAACUUCAGGAAACUGGGGCUAAUACCGGAUAGGAUCUCCUGCUGCAUGGUGGGGGUUGGAAAGUUUCGGCGGUUGGGGAUGGACUCGCGGCUUAUCAGCUUGUUGGUGGGGUAGUGGCUUACCAAGGCUUUGACGGGUAGCCGGCCUGAGAGGGUGACCGGCCACAUUGGGACUGAGAUACGGCCCAGACUCCUACGGGAGGCAGCAGUGGGGAAUAUUGCACAAUGGGCGGAAGCCUGAUGCAGAAACGCCGCGUGCGGGAUGACGGCCUUCGGGUUGUAAACCGCUUUCGCCUGUGACGAAGCGUGAGUGACGGUAAUGGGUAAAGAAGCACCGGCUAACUACGUG
rnacentral:rRNA from 1 species